GUAGGUGGCAAGCGUUGUCCGGAAUUAUUGGGCGUAAAGCGCGCGCAGGGCCGGGUUUUUUAAGUCUGAUGUGAAAGCCCACGGGCUCAACCGUGGAGGGUCAUUGGAAACUGGGGAACUUGAGUACAGAAGAGGAAAGCGGAAUUCCACGUGUAGCGGUGAAAUGCGUAGAGAUGUGGAGGAACACCAGUGGCGAAGGCGGCUUUCUGGUCUGUAACUGACGCUGAGGCGCGAAAGCGUGGGGAGCAAACAGGAUUAGAUACCCUGGUAGUCUACGCCGUAAACGAUGAGUGCUAAGUGUUAGGGGGUUUCCGCCCCUUAGUGCUGCAGCUAACGCAUUAAGCACUCCGCCUGGGGAGUACGGCCGCAAGGCUG
rnacentral:rRNA from 1 species